CCUACGGGAGGCAGCAGUGGGGAAUAUUGCACAAUGGGGGAAACCCUGAUGCAGCAACGCCGCGUGAGCGAUGAAGGCCUUCGGGUCGUAAAGCUCUGUCCUAAGGGAAGAAUACUGACGGUACCUCCAGAAGAAGGCCCGGCUAACUACGUGCCAGCAGCCGCGGUAAUACGUAGGGGCCAAACGUUGUCCGGAUUUAUUGGGCGUAAAGGGCUCGUAGGCGGUUCAACAAGUCGGUCGUGAAAACCCGGGGCUCAACCCCGGGACGCCGGUCGAAACUGUUGUGACUAGGGUCCGGUAGAGGUGAGUGGAAUCCUCGGUGUAGCGGUGGAAUGCGCAGAUAUCGAGAGGAACACCAGUAGCGAAGGCGGCUCACUGGGCCGGUACCGACGCUGAGGAGCGAAAGCGUGGGGAGCGAACAGGAUUAGAUACCCUUGUAGUC
rnacentral:rRNA from 1 species